rnacentral:rRNA from 1 species
GAUGAACGCUGGCGGCGUGCCUAAUACAUGCAAGUCGAGCGAACGGACGAGAAGCUUGCUUCUCUGAUGUUAGCGGCGGACGGGUGAGUAACACGUGGAUAACCUACCUAUAAGACUGGGAUAACUUCGGGAAACCGGAGCUAAUACCGGAUAAUAUUUUGAACCGCAUGGUUCAAAAGUGAAAGACGGUCUUGCUGUCACUUAUAGAUGGAUCCGCGCUGCAUUAGCUAGUUGGUAAGGUAACGGGUUACCAAGGCAACGAUGCAUAGCCGACCUGAGAGGGUGAUCGGCCACACUGGAACUGAGACACGGUCCAGACUCCUACGGGAGGCAGCAGUAGGGAAUCUUCCGCAAUGGGCGAAAGCCUGACGGAGCAACGCCGCGUGAGUGAUGAAGGUCUUCGGAUCGUAAAACUCUGUUAUUAGGGAAGAACAGAUGUGGAAGUAACUGUGCACAUCUUGACGGUACCUAAUCAGAAAGCCACGGCUAACUACGUG